rnacentral:rRNA from 1 species
UUGGAGGGCAAGUCUGGUGCCAGCAGCCGCGGUAAUUCCAGCUCCUAUAGCGUAUAUUAAAGUUGUUGCAGUUAAAAAGCUCGUAGUUGAAUUUCGGGAUCAAGGAAUCGGUCAUGCCUUGGUAUGUACUGGUUUUAUUGGUUCUCACCUUCUAAAGAACCAUAAUGUCAUUUAUUUGAUGUUAUGGGGAAUUAGGACUGUUACCUUGAAAAAAUUAGAGUGUUUAAAGCAAGCUUACGCUUGAAUACAUUAGCAUGGAAUAAUGAAAUAGGACAUCAGAUUCUAUUUUGUUGGUUUCUAGGAUCGAUGUAAUGAUUAAUAGGGAUAGUUGGGGGCAUUAGUAUUCAAUUGUCAGAGGUGAAAUUCUUGGAUUUAUUGAAGACUAACUACUGCGAAAGCAUUUGCCAAGGAUGUUUUCAUUAAUCAAGAACGAAAGUUAGGGGAUCGAAGACGAUCAGAUACCGUCGUAGUCUUAACCAUAAACUAUGCCGACUAGGGGAUCGGGAUGAUGUUAAUUUAUAAUGACUC